rnacentral:rRNA from 1 species
ACGCUGGCGGCGUGCUAACACAUGCAAGUCGAACGAUGAUAGAGAGCUUGCUUUUCUUGAUUAGUGGCGCACGGGUGAGUAAUGCAUAGAUAAUGUGCCCCUUAGUUCGGGAUAGCCACUGGAAACGGUGAUUAAUACCGGAUACUCCUUCUUGUUAUAAGACAAGUCGGGAAAGUUUUUCGCUAAGGGAUCAGUCUAUGUUCCAUCAGCUUGUUGGUGAGGUAAUGGCUCACCAAGGCUAUGACGGAUAUCUGGUUUGAGAGGAUGAUCAGACACACUGGAACUGAGACACGGUCCAGACUCCUACGGGAGGCAGCAGUGAGGAAUAUUGCAUAAUGGAGGAAACUCUGAUGCAGCAACGCCGCGUGGAGGAUGACGCAUUUCGGUGUGUAAACUCCUUUUAUUAGGGAAGAUAAUGACGGUACCUAAUGAAUAAGCACCGGCUAACUCCGUGCCAGCAGCCGCGGUAAUACGGAGGGUGCAAGCGUUACUCGGAAUCACUGGGCGUAAAGGGUGCGUAGGCUGGCUUUUAAGUCAGAUGUGAAAUCCAAUGGCUCAACCAUUGAACUGCAUUUGAAACUGAAAGCCUAGAGUUCAGAAGGGGCAGAUGGAAUUAGUGGUGUAGUGGUAAAAUCCGUAGAUAUCACUAGGAAUAUCAAAAGCGAAGGCGAUCUGCUGGGAUGAUACUGACGACGCUGGCGGCGUGCUAACACAUGCAAGUCGAACGAUGAUAGAGAGCUUGCUUUUCUUGAUUAGUGGCGCACGGGUGAGUAAUGCAUAGAUAAUGUGCCCCUUAGUUCGGGAUAGCCACUGGAAACGGUGAUUAAUACCGGAUACUCCUUCUUGUUAUAAGACAAGUCGGGAAAGUUUUUCGCUAAGGGAUCAGUCUAUGUUCCAUCAGCUUGUUGGUGAGGUAAUGGCUCACCAAGGCUAUGACGGAUAUCUGGUUUGAGAGGAUGAUCAGACACACUGGAACUGAGACACGGUCCAGACUCCUACGGGAGGCAGCAGUGAGGAAUAUUGCAUAAUGGAGGAAACUCUGAUGCAGCAACGCCGCGUGGAGGAUGACGCAUUUCGGUGUGUAAACUCCUUUUAUUAGGGAAGAUAAUGACGGUACCUAAUGAAUAAGCACCGGCUAACUCCGUGCCAGCAGCCGCGGUAAUACGGAGGGUGCAAGCGUUACUCGGAAUCACUGGGCGUAAAGGGUGCGUAGGCUGGCUUUUAAGUCAGAUGUGAAAUCCAAUGGCUCAACCAUUGAACUGCAUUUGAAACUGAAAGCCUAGAGUUCAGAAGGGGCAGAUGGAAUUAGUGGUGUAGUGGUAAAAUCCGUAGAUAUCACUAGGAAUAUCAAAAGCGAAGGCGAUCUGCUGGGAUGAUACUGACG